rnacentral:rRNA from 1 species
GCUUAACACAUGCAAGUCGUGCGGCAACAGAAAAAGCUUAUGUUUUUUGCUGGCGAGCGGCGGACGGGUGAGUAAUAUAUGGGGAUCUGCCCAGAGGAGGGGGAUAACUAUUGGAAACGAUAGCUAAUACCGCAUAAACUCUUUUUGAGCAAAGCAUGGGAUAAGUUUUUUAAUAAAAUUUACCAUGUGCCUUUGGAUGAACUCAUAUGAGAUUAGCUAGUAGGUGAGGUAAAAGCUGCACCUAGGCUACGAUCUCUAGCUGGUCUGAGAGGAUGACCAGCCACACUGGGACUGAGACACGGCCCAGACUCCUACGGGAGGCAGCAGUGGGGAAUAUUGCACAAUGGGCGAAAGCCUGAUGCAGCCAUGCCGCGUGUAUGAAGAAGGCCUUCGGGUUGUAAAGUACUUUCAGUCGGGAGGAAGAUAAUAGAGGCAAAUAGCUUUUUUUAUUUGACGUUACCGACAGAAGAAGCACCGGCUAACUCCGUGCCAGCAGCCGCGGUAAUACGGAGGGUGCGAGUGUUAAUCGGAAUUACUGGGCGUAAAGGGCACGCAGGCGGUUAAUUAAGUUGGAUGUGAAAUCCCUUGGCUCAACCUAGGAACUGCAUUCAAAACUGAAUAACUAGAGUCUCGUAGAGGGGGGGUAGAAUUCCAUGUGUAGCGGUGAAAUGCGUAGAGAUAUGGAGGAAUACCAGUGGCGAAGGCGGCCCCCUGGACGAAGACUGACGCUCAUGUGCGAAAGCAUGGGGAGCAAACAGGAUUAGAUACCCUGGUAGUCCAUGCCGUAAACAAUGUCAAUUUGGAGGUUGUAGUCUUAGAACUGUAGCUUCCGUAGCUAACGCGUUAAAUUGACCGCCUGGGGAGUACGACCGCAAGGUUAAAACUCAAAUGAAUUGACGGGGGCCCGCACAAGCGGUGGAGCAUGUGGUUUAAUUCGAUGCAACGCGAAGAACCUUACCUACUCUUGACAUCCAUAGAAGUUUAUUGAGAAAUAAACGUGCCUUAGGGAACUAUGAGACAGGUGCUGCAUGGCUGUCGUCAGCUCGUGUUGUGAAAUGUUGGGUUAAGUCCCGCAACGAGCGCAACCCUUUUCCUUUGUUGCCAGCGAGUAAGUCGGGAACUCAAAGGAUACUGCCGGUGAUAAACCGGAGGAAGGUGGGGAUGACGUCAAGUCAUCAUGGCCCUUACGAGUAGGGCUACACACGUGCUACAAUGGAAUCGAAU